rnacentral:precursor_RNA from 15 species
GAUGUGUUUUCACAACUCGCUGAAACUGUGGAGGAACUAUUGGUGUGAUUUGUUCAUUUAAUCAUAUCACAGCCAUUAGUUACUUCACAGUUUCAGUAUUUUCUACACUGGAGUUAG